UACGUAGGGUGCAAGCGUUGUCCGGAAUUAUUGGGCGUAAAGAGCUCGUAGGCGGUCUGUCACGUCGGCUGUGAAAACCCGAGGCUCAACCUCGGGCCUGCAGUCGAUACGGGCAAACUAGAGUACUGCAGGGGAGACUGGAAUUCCUGGUGUAGCGGUGAAAUGCGCAGAUAUCAGGAGGAACACCGGUGGCGAAGGCGGGUCUCUGGGCAGUAACUGACGCUGAGGCGCGAAAGCCAGGGGAGCGAACGGG
rnacentral:rRNA from 1 species